AAUAGUGACUAGUUUUUUUCUUGGUUGAUUUUAUUUCAUUAAAUAAAUAAUAAGUAUAAAAUAAAUAUAUACUGUGUGCAUUGGAUUCUUUGUUUUUUAAAAAAAAAUAUAAUAAAUAAAAAAUAAUAAAAAAAAUCCAAAGAGACCCACUCCCAACGGUCACACACGAUACUCUCCAUUCUCUCGUACCAGCAAACGACAAAAAGGAGAAGCAAAAAAUUUCUCAACAAACUUAAUCUCUCCCCACUACCACACGUCCCCACUCUCAGCUCACACAAAUCACUCUGCAAAAACUCACCACACUCCACUCACUCCCACUAUCUCUCCACUACCAACAAACAUUCAGCAGAAAAAACAAAAACCCUUCCAACUCUCACUCACUCUCUGCGAAAAUCUUCCUCACAAUCACUCUCUUUAAAGACUCACUCUCCCUCUCAGAAAAAUCAUCAUCCCGAAAACCCUCCUUUAUUCACUCUCUCGCUCCCUCAACACAAAAAUCCCUCACCUUGCUUUCAGAAAUCUCCUCUUAAAACCACUCAGUACCCUCACACUACCUCGCCUCCAUCUCAUCUUCUUCCUUCCGCCACCCACUUCACGCCGCCAUCAUCAUCAUCUCACCACAAAUCCACCGUAAAAACCUCACAUCCGCUCCUCACUCCCUCACUCUCAAAACCCAUCCGCCGCCGAAUCUAACACCAACCGGAAACCCAAAC
rnacentral:lncRNA from 1 species